GUGAGGCUCCGCCCAGGCAGUUGCAACUUGCUCAGGUGAAGCAAACUGACUCACCUGAAAGGUGAGGGUGAGCCAAAACCAGGACACCCAGGAAAGCCCAGAGCAGAUGAAGAUGACGACGAUAAGCUACUUGCACAAGAUUAACACAGUCAGUGGAAAACUGGGAUUUGAAUUCAGAAGUUGAGUACUAGAGUCUACGCUUAACCACGACACCAUUUGUGCUGGUAAUGUGCCCAUUAUACAGAUAAGGGAACUGAGGCUUACGAGAAAUAAAUCCUUGCCCAAGGAUACACAGCACAAGGGCCAACAGCCAAAUCAACAUCUGAUUUGAAAGCCCGUGUUGUCUCCCAUUUUGCUGUGCCAUGUAGAGGAGACAAAAGGGCAAAUAUCAAAUUCAGAUAUUUAGAUUUAAUUCUGUAAUUCAGAAUCCAAUGUGUCAUCAUACUGAAAAAAAUUAACUCACUUUUUUUCUUGCAAAGAUGCAGGUAGUACAAUUUUCUUAUAGGGAUCUGAAGGAUGUCUCAUUCAUCUGUUCAUUUAUUCACUGAAUAACUAUUUUUGAAAUGCCUAUUAUGAGCGAGGCCCUGAUCUAGGUGCUUCAAGGAGCUUACAAUGUAGCUGAAAUAAUAGACUUCGGACAAGUGAUUAAAGUGUGACCAAGGGGGAAAUACUAUUUACAACUGCAAAUGACUGGAACCCCACUGCCACUGAGGAAGACGGUUUGGGAAGGAAGCAGAGAUGCAGAAAGUCAGGGGAAGAUGGCAGCCAAGCUACUUGUUGGGCAGUUGGAGAAUCUUGAAAACAAUGACAUUUAACCAACUCAAAAUCAAUGUAUUUGCAUUCUCAUCAUGUAACUCCCUCCAUAUCCAUAAACCUUUCAUAAAAUUUGCUACGCAUACAAUAACCUUGAGUAAAGGCUUUUAAUGGAAAUCGAGAAAAGAAGUUGAGGUCCUCAUCUGUGUGAAUAUGGGGGUGGGAAAGAGCAUAUAUGAGAAGGACCGAGCGUAAUUUGGGGGAUCAGAGAAGCCUGCUGCAUUGGCAUAAACAUUCUGACUUUGCUGACCUGCUAACCCUCACUUGUCCACGGUUCUGAAAUCCUCAUCUGUCUUGGUCCUUGUUGAAAACCCAGAGCCUUGAAUGAUGGCAGACACAUAACAGGUGCUCAGUAAAUAUUUUUUGAUUGCCUGACUACAUGAAUGAUCUCAGCAGCCCUUCAAAAUCUCUCCCACUUGUGUUUCUCUAACACUCCCCGAUGUACCCUCAGAGCCUGGCACAUAGUAAGUGCUUAAUAAAGAGCCCUUGACUGACAAAAAACCUUUCUCCACAGUUUAGAUAAUCUCCUUGAACUGGCUUCCAGUGAAAUUACUAGAUCAAAGAGAACGGAG
rnacentral:lncRNA from 10 species